CCUACGGGCGGCAGCAGUGAGGAAUAUUGGUCAAUGGACGCAAGUCUGAACCAGCCAUGCCGCGUGCAGGAAGACGGCUCUAUGAGUUGUAAACUGCUUUUGUACGAGGGUAAACGCAGAUACGCGUAUCUGUCUGAAAGUAUCGUACGAAUAAGGAUCGGCUAACUCCGUGCCAGCAGCCGCGGUAAUACGGAGGAUUCAAGCGUUAUCCGGAUUUAUUGGGUUUAAAGGGUGCGUAGGCGGUCGGAUAAGUUAGAGGUGAAAUCCCGAGGCUCAACUUCGGAAUUGCCUCUGAUACUGUUAGGCUAGAGAGUAGUUGCGGUAGGCAGAAUGUAUGGUGUAGCGGUGAAAUGCUUAGAGAUCAUACAGAACACCGAUUGCGAAGGCAGCUUACCAAGCUACGUCUGACGUUGAGGCACGAAAGCGUGGGGAGCAAACAGGAUUAGAUACUCGAGUAGUC
rnacentral:rRNA from 1 species